rnacentral:rRNA from 1 species
CCCCUAGAUGUUCUGGGCCGCACGCGCGCUACACUGGUCGAUGCAACGAGUUUCUUUCCUUGGCCGACAGGCCUGGGCAAUCUUUGAACAUCGAUCGUGAUCGGGAUAGAUUCUUGUAAUUUUUGAUCUUAAACGAGGAAUUCCUAGUAAACGCAAGUCAUCAGCUUGCAUUGAUUACGUCCCUGCCCUUUGUACACACCGCCCGUCGCACCUACCGAUUGAAUGGUCCGGUGAAAUCUCCGGACUGGCGUGAGUCGGAGCAAUCUGACAAACGCCGGAAAGUUGAUUAAACCUUACCAUUUAGAGGAAGGUGAAGUCGUANCA